AUGCGCUCGCUGCUGGCCAGUCCCGUGGCUGUAAAUGUCGCUACCGAAUGCUUUUGUCUAGAAAACUGCUUUGGUGGCUUAGCAUGGCAAAUCUUUUCCUGCAAAGGGUUUGUUCUACACAGCAAUGUAAAGCAGUUUACCUCCUGUGUCAACAUUCAACCUAAAGGAAGCGGAGAACACAAGAAACCGCAACAGAAAUGUAAAAAGGGCCAAUCAAGAUCAACAGAGAGCUAGAGCCCUGCUUCUCAGUGCCCCAGAAGCUGCUGACUGAGUGACUGCUCCACUUUGUCAUCGAGUCCCCAGGAGCCCGAAGCAGCAGCAGAGCCGAAUCAUUCCAGGUCAGCAUGUAACAGCUGACCCAGAGUUACCAUCAGUGCUGGGCGUGAAAAGACAAGGGUGGUGGUAUCUCAGGCCUUUGAGCAGAAACGAACCUCUAG
rnacentral:lncRNA from 1 species